UUUUACUGUUGAAUAAGUAUUUUUAAACUUUUUUUUGCAAUGAAACGUUAUUCGUUUUUGAAUAUAUCUGGUUUUUUAAGAAACUAAUUUAAUUAUUUUGGCAUUAAUAAGUUUAUUAGGGGAUAAGCUCUUAGGUUUAUGACCAUAAUAUUUAAUUUUCUGAGAAUUUAUAGGAUUAGAAUUUUCCAUUGUUAGAAGGAUGUUAUAAUUGAUUGUUUUGGAUUUUUUAUUGAAAUUUUAGUUUAAAUUUUAUUUUCUAAGUAAUUAUGAUAAAAUAAGUAAGGUUGUUUUAAGGAAUUCGGCAAAAAUAAUUUUCACCUGUUUAUUAAAAACAUGUCCUUUUGUUAUUGAUUUAAGGUCUGGCCUGCCCAAUGAUUAAAAGGCC
rnacentral:rRNA from 1 species